rnacentral:rRNA from 1 species
AUACGUAGGGUGCAAGCGUUAAUCGGAAUUACUGGGCGUAAAGCGUGCGUAGGUGGUUGUUUAAGUCUGUCGUGAAAGCCCUGGGCUCAACCUGGGAAUGGCGAUGGAAACUGGGCGACUAGAGUGUGGCAGAGGGUAGUGGAAUUCCUGGUGUAGCAGUGAAAUGCGUAGAGAUCAGGAGGAACAUCCGUGGCGAAGGCGACUGCCUGGGCCAACACUGACACUGAGGCACGAAAGCGUGGGGAGCAAACAGGAUUAGAUACCCUGGUAGUCCACGCCCUAAACGAUGCGAACUGGAUGUUGGGUGCAAUUUGGCACGUAGUAUCGAAGCUAACGCGUUAAGUUCGCCGCCUGGGGAGUACGGCCGCAAGGUUAAAACUCAA